rnacentral:lncRNA from 1 species
AAAAACCUAAAGAGAACAAAUGUUCUCUGCGCCGCUCUGACGAUUCACCGCCUCCGAAGACCUCCGAUCUUUGCCUCAACUCCGAUGGUUACAGAGAGGGCAAAAAUCCAGCCUUCAGGUACGCCUUCCCUCCUUUACUGCUACUGUUUCUUUCUUUUAAUAACAAUCUAUAGAUGCGAAAUAAAGAAAGAAGAAAAAGGAAAGAAAAGCAACGAACUGCGAAUAUGAGAACAGAAAAAAAAAGAACCCAGUAAUCACCUUUUGAUAUUUCAAAUUUUGUAUUCUGAAUGUGUAAUCCGUUUACAAUGUUCGAAUGGCCCUCUUAUAGCCCGAUUUUAUAGAAAAAAUAAAAAAUAGAAUAAAUAAAAGGUUCCUCCUAUUAAGUUAUCUCCCCAUUUGCUGCUGUUUUCGUGUGUUUUUGCAAGUAUUCGGCCAGCUUGGAGGUACGGAGGGGAUGACGCACCCGCCUGGUGGUGAUGCACGCGUGGGGCUCUGGUUUGGGUUUGCCUACGACGCCGGAACAGAGGAUCAAUGCUGCGGCUGCACCAGAAUGGUCUAGAAACCCUUAGGGUUUUUGAUUUUGGGCCACUGUAAUCGAGUUAUGAAAGUUGAGUUUAAGGUCUGUUUAGGGUCUGGGAUUUAAAUUGGGCCUAUUAUAUUGGACUAGGUUAAUUGGGUUAGAUUUUGGGUCUGUAAUUUUGCUGUAACCUGGAUCUGGACUAUGUAAAUGGACUUUGAAUUUGGUUUUAUUUAUUUAUUUAUUUGGGUUUUAAUAUUUGGGCUAAGGCCGGACAAAAUUUGGGUAUUACACCAGAG